UGGGCGUAAAGCGUUCGCAGGCGGUUUGGUAAGUUUGUGGUUAAAUCUGGUCGCUCAACGAUCAACAUGCCAUAGAUACUGCCUGACUAGAGGAUGGCAGAGGCAACUGGAAUUCUGCGUGUAGGGGUAAAAUCCGUUGAUACGCAGAGGAACACCAAAAGCGAAGGCAGGUUGCUGGGCCAUUUCUGACGCUGUUGAACGAAAGCGUGGGGAGCAAACAGGAUUAGAUACCCUGGUAGUCCACGCCGUAAACGAUGGAUACUCGGUGUAAGGAGGAAUCGACCCCUCUUUGUGCCUAAGCAAACGCGUUAAGUAUCCCGCCUGGGAAGUACGGUCGCAAGAUUAAAACUCAAAGGAAUAGACGGGGACCCACACAAGCGGUGGAACAUGUGGUUUAAUUCGACGAUAAACGGGGAACCUUACCAAGGCUUGACAUCUCCGGAAUCCUGAGGAAACUCGGGAGUGCCGCAAGGAACCGGAUGACAGGUGCUGCAUGGUCGUCGUCAGCUCGUGCCUUGAGGUGUUCGGUUAAGUCCGUGAACGAGCGCAACCCAUAUGCUGUGUUGCAUUUUCACAGCAGACUGCCGACUUCAAGUCGGAGGAAGGUAUGGAUGACGUCAGAUCAGCAUGGCCCUUAUGCCUUGGGCCACACACGUGUUACAAUGGCCGGUACAAUGGGCUGCCAACCCGCAAGGGGGAGCAAAUCCCAUCAAAGCCGGUCUAAGUUCGGAUUGAGGGCUGCAAUUCGCCCUCAUGAAGCUGGAAUCGCUAGUAACCGCAAAUCAGACAUGUUGCGGUGAAUAUGUUCCUGGGUCUUGUACUCACCGCCCGUCACAUCAUGAAAGGUGGGGAUACCCGAAGUCGCCUUAGCCCUCCGGGGCGGGUGCCUAAGGUAAAAUCACUGAUUGGGAUGAAGUCGUAACAAGGUAUCCGUAGGAGAACCUGCGGAUG
rnacentral:rRNA from 1 species